rnacentral:rRNA from 1 species
GACGAACCACACAAACGUUAUUCGGAAUUACUGGGCUUAAAGGGUGCGUAGGCUGUGCGGAAAGUUGGGUGUGAAAUCCCCCGGCUCAACCGGGGAAUUGCGCCCAAAACUACCGUGCUUGAGGAAGACAGAGGUGAGCGGAACUUCGGGUGGAGCGGUGAAAUGCGUUGAUAUCCGAAGGAACACCGGUGGCGAAGGCAGCCCCCUGGGAUAACACUGACGCUCAUGCACGAAAGCGUGGGGAGCAAACAGG